rnacentral:rRNA from 1 species
UGGGGAAUAUUGCGCAAUGGGCGAAAGCCUGACGCAGCGACGCCGCGUGAGGGAUGAAGGUUUUCGGAUCGUAAACCUCUGUCAGAAGGGAAGAAACCGCACUGUGCUAAUCAGCAGUGCCUUGACGGUACCUUCAAAGGAAGCACCGGCUGACUCCGUGCCAGCAGCCGCGGUAAUACGGAGGGUGCAAGCGUUAAUCGGAAUUACUGGGCGUAAAGCGCACGUAGGCUGCUUUGUAAGUCAGGGGUGAAAUCCCACGGCUCAACCGUGGAACUGCCUUUGAUACUGCUUAGCUUGAAUCCGGGAGAGGGUGGCGGAAUUCCAGGUGUAGGAGUGAAAUCCGUAGAUAUCUGGAGGAACAUCAGUGGCGAAGGCGGCCACCUGGACCGGUAUUGACGCUGAGGUGCGAAAGCGUGGGGAGCAAACAGG